rnacentral:tRNA from 1 species
GCCACGGUGGUCUAGCGGUUAGAACGCUGGCCUUGUAAUCCUGGGGUCUCGGGUUCGAUUCCCCGGCGUUGCC